AUGGAAACCUCAGCAGCGGGUUCAAACCAUGUUUUCAUAUCUCGUUUGCAGGGGCGGGGAAGGCGCACAGGCUGGGUUUUCAGCAUCCACUUUCCCCCCAAAGUUCACCUUGUAUUUCCAGGAAGACAUUCAGGAGCAUUGCAGGGGUACACGAUAUCUUCCAAGAGUUAGAAAAAGACCCCGGCUUAGCAGGACAAUGCUGUAGAUACCCCCUUGUCGCUUCCCCUCACCCCAGAUGCUCAGCGCCACCUGUGUCUAUGACCUUAGCCUGUCCCCACAGUUCUGCCCAGCUCCAUCUGUCCUAGGAAGAGGCUGUGUAGGCUGCAGAAAGAUGUCCAGCCCCAAGCCAUGGAUGCCCUGUGAGCACCCAAUUUCAGCACGUGGAGCCUACUGGAGGUCAGCUGGCUCUUCCAGCCUCAUGACCUGAUGUCAAUGAGAAAGGAGGUGGGCGCUGCUAUUUUCCCCACGUUGUAGCCAACAAACCCGAAGCACCAAGAAGUUAAACUUGCCCAAACGGAAGACGAAGGACAUGUGUUCUUAGAAGAGUCCUACUCUCCGGAAUGCUGGGAUUCCAGGUGCAUGCCUUUGCAUCCAGCAAUGUGGAAGGACCAGUUUGGUUGGGUUGGGUGGAUGAAGACAAAGCAACGGCCAGCGAGGUCAUUCUGCGAUGUUUCUAAGGACUGACAGCCAACCCCACAGCCACUUGCCAGAGGAAGAGACCAAACGUCAGGGCCACUGCCAACGAGUGAAACCCCAAAUACAACAGAACACAGCCCCAGAGCCCUCCUUCCAAGGUUCUCAGUAGCCCAGCAAGGAGGGGGGACACAUUCCUACUGAAAAGAGGACAAAACAGAGGCCAGAGGCGCCUUGCUGGAGUCCACCCGGCUUCCUUCUCUUGAAGAUGGACAGCUGUGUGUCCCUGAUGAUCCUGGGUGAUGGAAGCCCUCACCCCUUCCUCUCAUUUGGACCCACGAAGCCUCUUUCCACCCCAGGGUCUCAAGAGUCUUCACAACCAGAACAUCUCUGCCCUCACCCUCUCUGCCUCUGGCCAGCUCUGCCAGCCACCAGGUUCCCAGGGAAAUGCCCAGAAGGCACCCCUCAGCCCCAGCAUAGCUUGAGGUUCCCAUCCAACCUCACAGUCUCUCUGGCCUUUGGGACACUUUCCCCAACUGUACUUGACAACUACAACAAUAGUUACUGUGUAUUUCGUUGUGUCUCGUGUUCUUCUUGCU